rnacentral:rRNA from 1 species
UACGGAGGGUACGAACGUUGCUCGGAAUUAUUGGGCGUAAAGAGCGUGUAGGCGGUUAACUUAGUCCCGUGGGAAAUCCCUCGGCUUAACCAAGGAAUUGCGCUGGAAACUGGUCAACUAGAGUACGGGAGAGGGUAGCGGAAUUCCCGGUGUAGAGGUGAAAUUCGUAGAUAUCGGGAGGAACACCAGUGGCGAAGGCGGCUACCUGGACCGAUACUGACGCUGAGACGCGAAAGCGUGGGGAGCAAACAGG